GCCGACUCUUGUUUACAAACUCCCCCCACUUAUUUGCUUAAAUUGUUUUUAAUUUCUCAGCAAAAUCCAUGGAUUGGAAUUCACGUGGGGACGCCGAGACACGCACACGAACACAUUGGCAGUGUUUGUGGUGCAGAGUUCUCUCAAGGUCGGCUGGGUAACGAAAUCAAUAUCCGAUGUGAGUUCACGAAGUUUAUCAGCUUAUUCCUCCCUCUUCUUCCACUGUAGUAUCAUUUGCGGCUCUCUCUGAUCUUGUUGCAUUUUAAGUCGCGAGAGGGGAAAAUCUAGAGUACGCUAUACAUGAACUCGUUUCCUGUUGCCGCUUACACGACCGGGUGCAGUUUGCAGACGGAGUCACUACGCUGAAACUGCUGUACAGAGUGCUUCUGGGGUCUGCUGGCGAGGCGUUUCCCUGAGCUUACCUGCGUGUCAGGACAUGCCCAUCGCCCCUGGUGACUUUGUGAAUACCAACACAACACCCGGCCUUAACUACAAUCAUGGGAAUCUUCUGUGGAAAAGACGAAGCCGUGAUUGUCACUCAUAUGGGUGUGUCCGUCCGGCUGUGGCCCCUGCUGCUCUGGCCUCAUCACAGGCCGGUUUCUCCAGAUCCGCUGGGUGGAGA